CGGGCUGCUGCACCAGUGAGGAAUAUUGCUCAAUGGGGGGAACCCUGAUGCAGCAACGCCGCGUGGAGGAUGACGCAUUUCGGUGUGUAAACUCCUUUUAUAUGUCAAGAAAAUGACGGUAGCAUAUGAAUAAGCACCGGCUAACUCCGUGCCAGCAGCCGCGGUAAUACGGAGGGUGCAAGCGUUACUCGGAAUCACUGGGCGUAAAGGACGCGUAGGCGGGUUGGAAAGUCAGGUGUGAAAUCCUACAGCUUAACUGUAGAACUGCACUUGAAACUUCUAAUCUAGAGUAUGGGAGGGGGAGAUGGAAUUAGUGGUGUAGGGGUAAAAUCCGUAGAUAUCACUAGGAAUACCUAAAGCGAAGGCGAUCUCCUGGAACGUUACUGACGCUAAGGCGUGAAAGCGUGGGGAGCAAACAGGAUUAGAUACCCUUGUAGUC
rnacentral:rRNA from 1 species